rnacentral:rRNA from 1 species
AGAACGAACGCUGGCGGCAUGCCUAACACAUGCAAGUCGAACGAGACCUUCGGGUCUAGUGGCGCACGGGUGCGUAACGCGUGGGAAUCUGCCCUUAGGUACGGAAUAACAGUGAGAAAUUACUGCUAAUACCGUAUGAUGUCUUCGGACCAAAGAUUUAUCGCCUAGGGAUGAGCCCGCGUUGGAUUAGCUAGUUGGUGGGGUAAAGGCCUACCAAGGCGACGAUCCAUAGCUGGUCUGAGAGGAUGAUCGGCCACACUGGGAUUGAGAACGGCCCAGACUCCUACGGGGGGCAGCAGUGAGGAAUUUCGUCAAUGGGGGCAACCCUGAACGAGCAACGCCGCGUGCAGGAAGAAGGUUUUCGGAUCGUAAACUGCUUUUCUCGGGGAAGAGAACGGACGGUACCCGAGGAAUCAGCCCCGGCUAACUACGCGCCAGCAGCCGC